GUGUUCAGUUCGGCAGCACAUAUACUAAAAUUGAAACUAUAGAGAAGAUUAGCAUGGCCCCUGCACAAGGUUGACACGCAUAUUUGUAAAGCAUUCAAUAACAGU